UACGUAGGGGGCAAGCGUUGUCCGGAUUUAUUGGGCGUAAAGAGCGUGUAGGCGGCCAGGUAGGUCUGCUGUGAAAACUCGAGGCUCAACCUCGAGACGCCGGCGGAAACCAUCUGGCUAGAGUCCGGAAGAGGAGAGUGGAAUUCCUGGUGUAGCGGUGAAAUGCGUAGAUAUCUGGAGGAACACCGGUGGCGAAGGCGGCGUUCUGGACUGCAACUGACACUGUAAAACGAAAGCCAGGGGAGCAAACGGG
rnacentral:rRNA from 1 species